GAUGAACGCUGGCGGCGUGCCUAAUACAUGCAAGUCGAGCGAACAGACCAGGAGCUUGCUCCUCUGACGUUAGCGGCGGACGGGUGAGUAACACGUGGAUAACCUACCUAUAAUACUGGGAUAACUUCGGGAAACCGGAGCUAAUACCAGAUAAUAUAUUGAACCGCAUGGUUCAAUAGUGAAAGACGGUUUUGCUGUCACUUAUAGAUGGAUCCGCGCCGCAUUAGCUAGUUGGUAAGGUAACGGCCUACCAAGGCGACGAUGCGUAGCCGACCUGAGAGGCGGAUCGGCCACACUGGAACUGAGACACGGACCAGACUCCUACGGGAGGCCGCAGUAGGGAAUCUUCCGCAAUGGGCGAAAGCAUGACAGAGCAAAGCCGCGUCAGUGAUGAAGGUGUUCGGAUCGUAAAGCUCUGUUAUGAGGGAAGAACAAAUGUGUCAGGAAAUAUGCACGUCUUGACGGUAAUUAAUCAGAAAGCCACGGCUAACUACGUG
rnacentral:rRNA from 1 species